CCAGUAGUCUCGUUGGUGACCGCGGAGGGAUCAUUACAGAGUUGCAAAACUCCCUAAACCAUUGUGAACGUUACCUAAACCGUUGCUUCGGCGGGCGGCCCCGGGGUUUACCCCCCGGGCGCCCCUGGGCCCCACCGCGGGCGCCCGCCGGAGGUCACCAAACUCUUGUUAAUUUAUGGCCUCUCUGAGUCUUCUGUACUGAAUAAGUCAAAACUUUCAACAACGGAUCUCUUGGUUCUGGCAUCGAUGAAGAACGCAGCGAAAUGCGAUAAGUAAUGUGAAUUGCAGAAUUCAGUGAAUCAUCGAAUCUUUGAACGCACAUUGCGCCCGCCAGUAUUCUGGCGGGCAUGCCUGUUCGAGCGUCAUUUCAACCAUCAAGCCCCCGGGCUUGUGUUGGGGACCUGCGGCUGCCGCAGGCCCUGAAAAGCAGUGGCGGGCUCGCUGUCACACCGAGCGUAGUAGCAUACAUCUCGCUCUGGGCGUGCUGCGGGUUCCGGCCGUUAAACCACCUUUUAACCCAAGGUUGACCUCGGAUCAGGUAGGAAGACCCGCUGAACUUAAGCAUAUCAAUAGGCGGAGGAA
rnacentral:rRNA from 1 species